rnacentral:misc_RNA from 1 species
AAGUCGUAACAAGGUCUCCGUAGGUGAACCUGCGGAGGGAUCAUUAUUGAAUUUUCCUAAAGAAAAAUUUUGUGCUUUGCUUUCUCUUGAAAGAGAGAGAGAGGACAGUACAAGAUUUUUCCCAAACAAACGAUCACAACUACUAGCUGUGUGAAGCAAAAAGAAAAAGAAAAUUGAUUUGGAUGAGAAACAAACAAAAAAAAGUGUUUGCCUGAUAAUCAAGAUGAUUUGGAUUGCAGAAAGAAAUACAACUUUCAGCAACGGAUCUCUUGGCUCUC